GAUUUCUCCAUCUGCUCCUCUUCAGCAACUAUCUGGUUGCUCCUCUGCAGGUUCUGGCGACCCAUCAGGUGAGGUCACCAACUGAUCUAACAUCACUAAGAAUCACUCUGAUUUAUUCCAGUAGCAUGAUGUAGUCAAAGUCCUCAUCAACAAAGGCUCAUUAUUUUCUUAAUUAUGUCCAGGCCUUCUGUCACCCUUCCAGACACUGCACAACACCACCGAGGUGGUCUAGAUUUUCUCCUGAGGUAAGAAGAAACCAAGAUCCUUGUUGAUCACUCUCAUUGUUCACCAGGGACACUGUGCUUUCCUUUUAGUGCUUCUUUCAUGACAAUUUUUCUUCAAAAAAAAAAAAAAAGCCAUGACCUUGAAGCUCGCUCCUGUGGACCACCAGUGUGCCAAGGAAAGCUGUCCGUACAAUGUGGAAAGCCAAUAAUUGGGAUGUUUUAUUUUGAACCCUCUGGGAAAUUCGAGCCAGCUGAAGGGAAGGAAAAACAGAAAGCCACUCCUAGGUAUGACUUCACGGACUGAAAGUGAUCUUCACGGACUGAAAGUGAUCUUCACGUCUGGUCUUAGAUCCACAGGUCUGGUCCUAGAUCCCACUGGCAGGACUUUUCCCGAGCUGCUUUCCACAAAGGCUGCCAAGUUGAAGACAGAGAAGGACAGGGUGCCACCCACCAGCCCCAGAGACACCACUGCCCUGUCAUUGUCAACUGUCCUGUGACACCACAAUGCUCCUCAUUCUCAAAGACCCAAGGACAAAGAUUUCUUUGAAAACCACCUGCAUUACAAUGGUGCUGUUGAAAUUUCAGUAGGUGUUGUUUGCUAUGUCUUACAGAGUCAAACAGUGUAAAGUAACAAGAGUUGCACUAGUCAGGGCUCCCCAGAAACACAACCAUGUGUGCAAGCAUGUGUGCAAACACAGAAGGACUUUGUUUUAAGGAACUGGCUCACACAGUUGAGGAGGGUGAUGAAGACUGUUUGCUUGCCCAAACUCUAGUGAAGCUCCUGCAGCUUCUCCUGGGCCUAUCUGGGCACUUGCUCAUAAAUUCCAGUUUUAGUAAUGAACCUGCCAAGUCUAGUUAGCAGAAAGCCUCCACCCUCAGUACCUGAUAACCCAGUAGCUCAUCAGGUUCUGCAUGCUGCACCAUCCCCAGGUGUGCUGGGAGCCAUUAGCCAAGUAGGUAUGACAAUUUCCUUGCCAGUACCCCAUGUUGCAGUGACAUUGAAUGUAGGUGACCUUGCUCAAGGACCAAGGCGGAUUAGGGCAUUCCCGGUUUAGGUUCCAGGUUUAAGGUUUAAGAUUAUUCCUGCUGGGAAUAGGGCGUAUACUGCUGCCUGAGUUCCCCUUGAGUUCUCACGGGAUUCAGACAGUAUAUUUUGGAGAUAGAAGCCCAGUGGAGGUGGAUUUGGGCAGAGAACGUGGAUUUCCCCAGAACGUGUUUGUAGACGGCUGGUGUGAGUUCGGGAAUAAAGAGUUGUGUUUGAAUCUACAAGCUG
rnacentral:lncRNA from 1 species